GGCCGGUUGGCCCAAUGGCAAGGCGUCUGACUACGAUUAAACGGUAUCAGGAGAUUCUGGGUUCGACCCCCAGGCUGGUCA
rnacentral:tRNA from 1 species